ACUCCUACGGGAGGCAGCAGUGGGGAAUAUUGCACAAUGGAGGAAACUCUGAUGCAGCAACGCCGCGUGAGUGAUGAAGGUCUUCGGAUUGUAAAGCUCUGUCUUCUGGGACGAUAAUGACGGUACCAGAGGAGGAAGCCACGGCUAACUACGUGCCAGCAGCCGCGGUAAU
rnacentral:rRNA from 1 species